CUACGGGUGGCUGCAGUGGGGAAUAUUGCACAAUGGAGGAAACUCUGAUGCAGCAACGCCGCGUGGAGGAUGACACUUUUCGGAGCGUAAACUCCUUUUAUAUAGGAAGAAGAUGACGGUACUAUAUGAAUAAGCGCCGGCUAACUCCGUGCCAGCAGCCGCGGUAAUAAGGAGGGCGCAAGCGUUACUCGGAAUCACUGGGCGUAAAGAGCGUGUAGGCGGAUUAAAAAGUCAGAAGUGAAAUCCUAUAGCUUAACUAUAGAACUGCUUCUGAAACUCUUAAUCUAGAAUAUGGGAGAGGUAGAUGGAAUUUCUGGUGUAGGGGUAAAAUCCGUAGAGAUCAGAAGGAAUACCGAUUGCGAAGGCGAUCUACUAGAACAUUAUUGACGCUGAGACGCGAAAGCGUGGGGAGCAAACAGGAUUAGAUACCCCUGUAGUC
rnacentral:rRNA from 1 species